rnacentral:tRNA from 1 species
GGCCCGUUGGUCAAGCGGUUAAGACACCGCCCUUUCACGGCGGUAACACGGGUUCGAAUCC